UACCUGGUUGAUCCUGCCAGUAGUCAUAUGCUUGUCUCAAAGAUUAAGCCAUGCAUGUGUAAGUAUGAACGAAUUCAUAUUGUGAAACUGCGUAUGGCUCAUUAAAUCAGUUAUAGUUUGUUUGAUUGUAACUACUACUCGGAUAACCGUAGUAAUUCGAGAGCUAAUAUGUCCCCGACUUCUGGAAGGGAUGCAUUUAUUAGAUAAAAGGUCGAGGCGGGCUCUGCCCGUUGCUCUGAUGAUUCAUGAUAACUCGACGGAUCGCAUGGCCUUAGUGCUGGUGACGCAUCAUUCAAAUUUCUGCCCUAUCAACUUUUGAUGGUAGGAUAGUGGCCUACCACGGUGGUAACAGGUGACAGAGAAUUAGGGUUUGAUUCCGGAGAGGGAGCCUGAGAAACGGCUACCACAUCCAAGGAAGGCAGCAGGCGCACAAAUUACCCAAUCCUGACACGGGGAGGUAGUGACAAUAAAUAACAAUACCGGGCUCUUUGAGUCUGGUAAUUUGAAUGAGUACAAUCUAAAUCCCUUAACGAGGAUCCAUUGGAGGGUAAGUCUGGUGCCAGAAGCCGCGGUAAUUCCAGCUCCAAUAGCGUAUAUUUAAGUUGUUGCAGUUAAAAAGCUCGUAGUUGAACCUUGGGAUGGGUCGCCCGUUCCACCUUUGGUGAGCACUGGUCGGCUUGUCUCUUCUGUCGGCGGUAUGCUCCUGGCCUUAACUGGCCGGGUCGUGCCUCCGGUGCUGUCACUUUGGAGAAAUUAGAGUGCUCAAAGCAAGCCUACGCUCUGUAUACAUUAGCAUGGGAUAACAUCAUAGGAUUUCGAUCCUAUUGUGUUGGCCUUCGGGAUCGGAGUAAUGAUUAACAGGGACAGUUGGUGUAGAAACCCGUUAAAAAAAAAAAAGAGAGAGUGGUCGAGUAUC
rnacentral:ncRNA from 1 species